rnacentral:lncRNA from 1 species
CCCUCACUCAUGCACUGUGACAGAAAACAGUAAGAGAGGCACCAGGAAGAGAAAAUGUGUCAAAUUCCCCCAGCCUCCUAGAGAAGGAAGACUGUCACUAUUGAUAAUAGCAUGUUUUACAAUGUGAUUCAUUUGGGAAAAGUUUAAAAUGAAAAAACUCUGUGUCAGGACUAGAAAUACGAUGAUGCACACACUCCCAGCCUUCGUGGAGCUCACAGUUGGCUGAUGGAGAACAACAUUAAACAAGCAAUAACAGUAAAGUAAGAGAAAAGAGAAGAUACUGCAUCCAAGAAAAAAGAACAGACUCAAACAGAAAAGGAAUAUUCAAAAGCCAAAAUGGAAUUCUUAGAAAUUAAAAACAACAGAAAUGAGAAACUCAACAGUAAAUCUCUCAGAAAGUCAAGCAAAAAGACAAAGAGAUAGAAAAAUUGGAGGGAAAAUAGCAAGCCAAAUUAGAAGACUAGUCCAAGAAUUCGAAUAUCUAAGUAAUAGGAGUUCCAGAGAGAGGGAGAGAAAAAAACAAAAACAAAAACAGAAAACGGAAAACAGAAAAGAGGUAAUCACAAAUGAAAUUACCGUACUCGCUCCUAAUCCGUGAAGGUACGUUCCAAGACCCCAGUGGAUGUCUGAAACCACAGAUCAUGACUCACAAUAUUGACCUGUUCAGUGAUGUUGAGGGAAGACUGGCCAUAAAAAUUCAGAUCAUGGGUCAGGAGAGGAAACCAAAGGAAGAGUGGGAAAAACGAGAGUCCAGUUCCUCAGAGACCCACAAAUCAAGUCUGAUCUGCAGACAAGGGGACAAAGAUCUUCACGUCACACUCCAGUACGUCCAGACCCAGUCUGCUGUCUGUGCACCCCGAGAUCAGAACCACACACAUCGAGCAGUGGAG